UAUUGCACUCGUCCCGGUCUAU
rnacentral:miRNA from 1 species